rnacentral:rRNA from 1 species
CAGUAGCCGCGGUAAUGCGGAGGGGGCUAGCGUUGUUCGGAAUUACUGGGCGUAAAGCGCACGUAGGCGGACUGGAAAGUCAGGGGUGAAAUCCCGGGGCUCAACCCCGGAACUGCCUUUGAUACUGGGAGUCUUGAGUUCGAGAGAGGUGAGUGGAAUUGCGAGUGUAGGGGUGAAAUUCGUAGAUAUUCGCAGGAACACCAGUGGCGAAGGCGGCUCACUGGCUCGAUACUGACGCUGAGGUGCGAAAGCGUGGGGAGCAAACAGGAUUAGAUACCCCGGUAGUCCCUGUCUCUUAUAA